GGGGCUUCCCUGGUGGCUCAGACAGUAAAGAAUCUGCCUGCAAUUCGGGAAACCUGGGUUUGAUCCCUGGGUUGAGAAGAUCCCCUGGAGGAGGGCAUGGCAGCCCACUCCAGCAUUCUUGCCUGGAGAAUCCCACAGACAGAGGAGCCUGGCGGGAUACAGUCCACAGGGUUGCAAAGAGUCAGACGUGACAGAGUGACUGGGCACAGGAAGUUGGCCUACAUCAAACUUCCCUGGUGGCACAGUGGGUAAGAAGCCACAUGCUGAAGCAGGGGACAUGAGAUUGAUCCCUGGUCCUGGCGGAUCCCCCAGGCCAUGCAGCAGCGAAGUCCAUGUGCAGAAAUCCUGAAGCCUUCGCCCUCGCGGCUGCGCUCCGCAGCAGGAGAUGCCACCCCAGUGAAAAGCCCACAUGCAGCAUCUGGACAAACACCAGUGUGCAGCAACCAAGACCCGGCACAGCCAAGAAUAAAUAAGCAACAAAAUGGUCCACAUCAAAAGAAACAACAACAACUAAGUCUCUGUCACAGUUCCAGAGUGGAUAUUGAAUUCAGGAAAUGGAGACGUGUGUAAAAAUAUCCGGGGUGAAAGCAAAGGUCUCAGAGACUGAGACAUGGGAGUGUUGAGUAGAUAGAUAUGGAGGGGAAUAUAGGGGAGACCCUUCCACUGGGGCUUUGUGUUUUCAGCACUGUGGCUGAAUGCCACACGUCCUUUUUAUUAAAGGCACAGGACAGGUACAUGCCGAGUGUGAGAGAAAGUCUAAGAUCACUUCCCCAGAGCAGAGUGACAGAUUCCCAUUAAGCAUUCAGUCUCCUCUCAGGCCUCAAAAUCGAAUUCUCUGGAGGAGUUAGGAAAAGGAUUGUCUGAAGGAUGGAUGGGAUGGAAAGUCAUUCUCUUCCUAUCUUUGUAGUUCUCGGAACAAUGGCUCUCUUCAAAUAUUGACCGUCUGUGUUUUCUGAGACUACUGUUUACUUACGAUAAACACAUUUAUUGCGACCACUUUUUCUAACUCCUGUUGUUUAAACUAGCCUCUCAGUUCAUUUUCUCAGCUGGGUGUCCUUAGCUGGUUCUGUAAUAAACUUCCUGACUCACAGUAAUAACAUGCCUCCUGCCAGAGAGAGUAUAUUUUAUGGAUGUGUUGGGAAAUUUUAAAGUUAGAAAAAUCAGUGAUUGUUGAAAUGACAUGUUGAUAAAAACUAGGGCAUGACUUGGGUUUGCUUUUAAAAGCCUCUAAAAAAUAACAGGCUGCAAAUUAAAAUGUAUAAAGUAUCGAUCUGUCUUUUCAAAUUGAAAAUGAAGGAAGCCUGAUGAUUUUGGAAAUAAUUCUGGAAGUGUGUGUACAUUUUAAAGGUAUAUUUAAACACAUUUUAUUUCUUAGGGCUGUUCUGAAUGUCAUCUAAUACAGACAAGAAAAAUAGACCUCCCCCUCAGGCCAACAAGUAAUAUAAAAUCCUUUAGAAUUCUUUGGAGUUUGAAUGGAGUGGACGCAAAUGAAAUUAUCUGGGUAGGACACAGAUAUCAAAGUGUGUUUAAAAUUUCUUCACUUUUUCUUCUUUCACUCUCAUCAGUUUUUAUGUUUUCUGCAUCCAGGACAAGGAUCCAAGCUCUAAGAUUUCAGGGAAUGACUACUUAGCUGAGUGUUUUGCAUCUUCAGUAAAUGAAGAGACAGGAAAUAAUGUCAAGUAACAUGUACACAGACUUCCACCCUAGGUUUCCAGCUCAGAGAAGCUUAGGUGAGAGUCUGUUGACC
ensembl:lncRNA